rnacentral:sRNA from 1 species
GUCGUAUCGGACAGAUCGGGAUACUCAUCAAAUAAUACUGAAAACCGAGGACAAUUCUUCUGCUAAUGGCGGGCCAUAUAAACUCUUCGGAACUAAGCUGCAAAGCCGGUGGAUUACAAAGGCAGAGAAUCCUCAAAUCUUAUCAUAAGGAGUUUUCAUCACAUCGCGGUACGACCCCUU